UCCAAAUUGUUGCAGAAGUUCAGGUUGAUCAUUCAAUAGUUUCUCAUGAGCUGAUACCUCCUGAGAAGAUGCAUUAAGAUCCUCCUGUUUGCUAGAACCACUAGCAGAGGAUUUCCGCGUAAAAGGACCUCUAAUGAACAAAUUUGUGCUAACAGGAAGAGAGAUAAUUCCUUGAGGCAGCGGAGGAAGUAGUUCAUUUGCAAGAUUCACAAUCUCAAAAAUCUGCUCCGCAGGUCUGCUCAUGGCAGGUGAAAUAGAGACAGAGGCUGAUAAAAUGUCCUUGAGGAUCCCACUGAUACCAAGCAUCAUCAAG
rnacentral:misc_RNA from 1 species